rnacentral:rRNA from 1 species
GAUGAACGCUGGCGGCGUGCCUAAUACAUGCAAGUCGAGCGAACAGACGAGGAGCUUGCUCCUCUGACGUUAGCGGCGGACGGGUGAGUAACACGUGGAUAACCUACCUAUAAGACUGGGAUAACUUCGGGAAACCGGAGCUAAUACCGGAUAAUAUAUUGAACAGCAUGGUUCAAUAGUGAAAGACGGUUUUGCUGUCACUUAUAGAUGGAUCCGCGCCGCAUUAGCUAGUUGGUAAGGUAACGGCUUACAAAGGCAACGAUGCGUAGCCGACCUGAGAGGGUGAUCGGCCACACUGGAACUGAGACACGGUCCAGACUCCUACGGGAGGCAGCAGUAGGGAAUCUUCCGCAAUGGGCGAAAGCUUGACGGAGCAACGCCGCGUGAGUGAUGAAGGUCUUCGGAUCGUAAAACUCUGUUAUUAGGGAAGAACAAAUGUGUAAGUAACUAUGCACGUCUUGACGGUACCUAAUCAGAAAGCCACGGCUAACUACGUG